CGGGUGAGUAACACGUGAGCAACCUGCCCCGAAGACUGGGAUAACACCGGGAAACCGGUGCUAAUACCGGAUGCCCUCCUCUGGUCGCAUGGCCUAGGGAGGAAAUGAGUUUUGCUUCGGGAGGGGCUCGCGGGCUAUCAGCUUGUUGGUGAGGUAACGGCUCACCAAGGCGACGACGGCUAGCUGGUCUGAGAGGACGACCAGCCACACUGGGACUGAGACACGGCCCAG
rnacentral:rRNA from 1 species